rnacentral:rRNA from 1 species
UGGGGAAUAUUGCACAAUGGGGGAAACCCUGAUGCAGCAACGCCGCGUGAGUGAUGAAGGUUUUCGGAUCGUAAAGCUCUGUCUUUGGGGAAGAUAAUGACGGUACCCAAGGAGGAAGCCACGGCUAACUACGUGCCAU